rnacentral:misc_RNA from 1 species
AAGUCGUAACAAGGUAACCGUAGGUGAACCUGCGGUUGGAUCAUUACUAAAUGAAUGGUGUUUCAGGAAUCCUUCAAGCCUAGCUUGUUAAGGACUGAAUCAUCACUAACCCUUUGUGCAAUUAUAUAGUAUUUUGGGUAAUCCCUUUAGGGUUUGCCCAGCCUUUAUAAAAACCCCUUUAAACUUAUCUUAUAAUUUUUAAAUAUAAAAAUUAACAACUUUUGACAACGGAUCUCUUGGCUCUC